AUUGAACGCUGGCGGCAGGCCUAACACAUGCAAGUCGAGCGGUAGAGAGGUGCUUGCAUCUCUUGGGAGCGGCGGACGGGUGAGUAAUGCCUAGGAAUCUGCCUAGUGGUGGGGGAUAACGUUCGGAAACGGACGCUAAUACCGCAUACGUCCUACGGGAGAAAGCGGGGGAUCUUCGGACCUCGCGCCAUUAGAUGAGCCUAGGUCGGAUUAGCUAGUUGGUGAGGUAAUGGCUCACCAAGGCGACGAUCCGUAACUGGUCUGAGAGGAUGAUCAGUCACACUGGAACUGAGACACGGUCCAGACUCCUACGGGAGGCAGCAGUGGGGGAAUAUUGGACAAUGGGCGAAGACCUGAUCCAGCAAUGCCGCGUGCAGGAUGAAGG
rnacentral:rRNA from 1 species